rnacentral:rRNA from 1 species
CCCAGACUCCUACGGGAGGCAGCAGUGAGGAAUAUUGGUCAAUGGCCGGAAGGCUGAACCAGCCAAGCCGCGUGAGGGAGGAAGGCGCAGAGCGUCGCAGACCUCUUUUGCCGGGGGACAAAAGGCCGGACUCGUCCGGUCCUGAGGGUACCCGGAGAAAAAGCAUCGGCUAACUCCGUGCCAGCAGCCGCGGUAAUACGGAGGAUGCGAGCGUUAUCCGGAUUCAUUGGGUUUAAAGGGUGCGCAGGCGGCCUUGAAGGCGGGGGGGAAAACCGGGGCGCACCCCCCCGCCGAGCCGUCGGAACUGGGGGCCUUGAGUGCGGCGGAGGCAUGCGGAAUGCGCGGUGUAGCGGUGAAAUGCAUAGAUAUCGCGCAGAACCCCGAUUGCGAGGGCAGCGUGCCGUGCCGCCACUGACGCUGAGGCACGAAAGCGCGGGGAUCGAACAGGAUUAGAUACCCCCGUAU